AUUUACGGCCAAACCAUUCUUAGAAUUCCCGAUCUUGUUUGAUUGUUAAAGCUAAGCAGGGUUGGACCUGGCUAGUACUUGGAUGGGAGGCUGCCUGGGAACACCAAGUGCUGUGAGCA
rnacentral:rRNA from 1 species